rnacentral:lncRNA from 1 species
UCAGAGGCGUCCGACUACAUCGCCGCGCUUGAGAUGCAGGUCCGCGCCAUGGCCGCGCUCGCGCAGGCCCUCUCCGCCGUCUCCCCGCCGCCGUGAUCCAUCCAUCCACAACCCCAAGAUCCCCCGCGAAUCAGCGACGCGCGUCGGCGCAUGUACAUUUUCUUCCCCCAUGCGUGCCGCUCCAGUGUGCGACGACGGAUCGACGACGCGCCACGCCGGCGAUUGUCAGCCCGGCCGGCCGCGUCCGUGCAUGCCAGUAGGAAGAAGAAGAAGAAGAAGAAGAAGAAACAGUAGCAGUUCAUUGUAGAUUCUUUGUUAGCGUUUUUGGUUUGCUCGGGAGUGUGCCCGCUAAUCUAAAUCCGUAAAUGCAUGAGAUUUUCAGUACAGUUUCGGACAGUUGUGUUGUGUUCUCCAUCUCAAUUCUCAUCAGCUAGCAUGAAUAGCACGAGGAUCGCCGUCAUUUCUGACAAUUGCUCCGGUUUGACAAGCAAAGCGCAACGCUAAAUACAUAUUUUUUGUCAGAGGGACAAGAGCAAUGUUUAGUCUCUGACAAGCUCGCAAG